rnacentral:lncRNA from 1 species
AAAUUUAUGAUUAUCGUCGUGUUUACCUUUAUAAGAAUGAUUUUGCGUGGAUCGAAUCAGUUAAUCAAAUUAUUUACCUUUGUUUCACUUUCAAUGUUGAGAUUCUUUUCCUGUAAAUACCCGUACACGGACAAUGCAUGCGUUAUUCUAUCACUUUCUACGGGGUUAAAUUGGAGUUCACAUGAAUAUGGAUUUAAUGAG